CAUAUCAAUAAGCGGAGGAAAAGAAACCAACAGGGAUUGCCUCAGUAACGGCGAGUGAAGCGGCAAGAGCUCAAAUUUGAAAGCUGGCUCCUUCGGGGUCCGCAUUGUAAUUUGCAGAGGAUGCUUCGGGAGCGGCCCCCAUCUAAGUGCCCUGGAACGGGCCGUCAUAGAGGGUGAGAAUCCCGUCUGGGAUGGGGUGCCCGCGCCCGUGUGAAGCUCCUUCGACGAGUCGAGUUGUUUGGGAAUGCAGCUCUAAAUGGGUGGUAAAUUUCAUCUAAAGCUAAAUACUGGCCGGAGACCGAUAGCGCACAAGUAGAGUGAUCGAAAGAUGAAAAGCACUUUGAAAAGAGAGUUAAACAGCACGUGAAAUUGUUGAAAGGGAAGCGCUUGCGACCAGACUCGCUCGCGGGGUUCAGCCGGCCUUCGGGCCGGUGUACUUCCCCGCGGGCGGGCCAGCGUCGGUUUGGGCGGCCGGUCAAAGGCCCUCGGAAUGUAACGCCCCCCGGGGCGUCUUAUAGCCGAGGGUGCCAUGCGGCCAGCCCGGACCGAGGAACGCGCUUCGGCUCGGACGCUGGCAUAAUGGUCGUAAGCGACCCUC
rnacentral:rRNA from 1 species